rnacentral:rRNA from 1 species
UGGGGAAUAUUGCACAAUGGGCGCAAGCCUGAUGCAGCCAUGCCGCGUGUAUGAAGAAGGCCUUCGGGUUGUAAAGUACUUUCAGCGGGGAGGAAGGCGAUGUGGUUAAUAACCGCGUCGAUUGACGUUACCCGCAGAAGAAGCACCGGCUAACUCCGUGCCAGCAGCCGCGGUAAUACGGAGGGUGCAAGCGUUAAUCGGAAUUACUGGGCGUAAAGCGCACGCAGGCGGUCUGUCAAGUCGGAUGUGAAAUCCCCGGGCUCAACCUGGGAACUGCAUCCGAAACUGGCAGGCUAGAGUCUUGUAGAGGGGGGUAGAAUUCCAGGUGUAGCGGUGAAAUGCGUAGAGAUCUGGAGGAAUACCGGUGGCGAAGGCGGCCCCCUGGACAAAGACUGACGCUCAGGUGCGAAAGCGUGGGGAGCAAACA